CAGGCAUGUAGGCAAUUUGAGUCCAUUGGAUUCCAAUGGCAGUGAGUUGAGUAGCGUGGCUGGAGACAAACGCGUGGCUGGAGAAAAAUAUUUAAAAAUGGAGUGUUGGUGAAGCUGUGUACUUAAAUGGCCCUAAAGAUGUUUCACUUUGCUGGUAUUGCAGCGAUGAACAUCAUACAUGGACUCUUUAGGAAAGGAUUUUCAGCAUACUGGGAACACAACUAUCAACAAUGCAACAUUCUACGGGUGCUAUUUUAUCAUCCAAGAGCCUUAUACAAUGAUUUUCAUCUGCAAUUUGUAUGGCCUUUCUCAAAUUUCUGCCAGAAGUUGAAUCUAUGAGUCGCGUAAGUCACAUGAGCAACAAUUGAAAUGCUUAAUGGUGUUCUUUUUCUUUUCUCAGUAUAGGUUAAUAGUAACAUUGGAUCUGAAAAGAUUCUUGGUUGGGGCAAGACACUGAAUAAAUUGUAUUGAUUGGAUGGAUGACAUGACAUUUCUAUACUUAAUUCGGAUUCCCCAGACGGUAUUUGAUAUUUAAAAAAUUGAAGUGCAUAUCUGGGCUCCCUUCUUUUCUGAAGCCCCGUUUCCCCUUGACUCAUAAUAAGCCCGUAGGGGGUCAUGCCCCUACUGUACGGUAUAUAUAAAAACAACAUAUACCGAGGUUUGGAGGGCUCUGGCCGGAAAGGGGACGUGGGGUGCCGCUUAGUCCGAUGAUGUGUUCACGGAGGGUGACGUGGCUGCCCACAAAUCCGAACUAAAGGUUAAUCGCUCCUGUAAAAAUGUUCCAAAUCUUCAGCUCUUCUUCCGGCUUCUCUUAGCCAAUCACCGGGUAAUCUCCCCGGUGGGUCAACAAGGCAGUGUCUCCCCCUGCCUGGGUUGACGGCAACUUUUG